rnacentral:rRNA from 1 species
UACGUAGGGCGCAAGCGUUAUCCGGAAUUAUUGGGCGUAAAGAGCUCGUAGGCGGUCUGUUGCGUCGGCUGUGAAAACCCGGGGCUCAACCCCGGGCCUGCAGCCGAUACGGGCAGACUAGAGUUCGGCAGGGGAGACUGGAAUUCCUGGUGUAGCGGUGAAAUGCGCAGAUAUCAGGAGGAACACCGGUGGCGAAGGCGGGUCUCUGGGCCGAGACUGACGCUGAGGCGCGAAAGCGUGGGGAGCAAACAGG